rnacentral:rRNA from 1 species
GACGAACGCUGGCGGCGUGCUUAACACAUGCAAGUCGAACGGUGAACGAGGGAGCUUGCUCCCUCCGGAUCAGUGGCGAACGGGUGAGUAACACGUGAGCAAUCUGCCCCGAACUCUGGGAUAAGCGUUGGAAACGACUUCUAAUACCGGAUACGACGCGGGAGGGCAUCCUCUCCGCGUGGAAAGAACUUCGGUUCGGGAUGAGCUCGCGGCCUAUCAGCUUGUUGGUGAGGUAACGGCUCACCAAGGCGACGACGGGUAGCCGGCCUGAGAGGGUGACCGGCCACACUGGGACUGAGACACGGCCCAGACUCCUACGGGAGGCAGCAGUGGGGAAUAUUGCACAAUGGGCGCAAGCCUGAUGCAGCAACGCCGCGUGAGGGACGACGGCCUUCGGGUUGUAAACCUCUUUUAGCAGGGAAGAAGCGAAAGUGACGGUACCUGCAGAAAAAGCACCGGCUAACUACGUG